rnacentral:rRNA from 1 species
CCUACGGGUGACAGCAGUGGGGAAUAUUGGACAAUGGGGGGAACCCUGAUCCAGCCAUGCCGCGUGUGUGAAGAAGGCCCUCGGGUUGUAAAGCACUUUCAGUGAGGAAGAACGCCUGGUGGUUAAUACCCAUCAGGAAAGACAUCACUCACAGAAGAAGCACCGGCUAACUCCGUGCCAGCAGCCGCGGUAAUACGGAGGGUGCGAGCGUUAAUCGGAAUUACUGGGCGUAAAGCGCGCGUAGGUGGCUUGAUAAGCCGGUUGUGAAAGCCCCGGGCUCAACCUGGGAACGGCAUCCGGAACUGUCAAGCUAGAGUGCAGGAGAGGAAGGUAGAAUUCCCGGUGUAGCGGUGAAAUGCGUAGAGAUCGGGAGGAAUACCAGUGGCGAAGGCGGCCUUCUGGACUGACACUGACACUGAGGUGCGAAAGCGUGGGUAGCAAACAGGAUUAGAUACCCUAGUAGUC